GACGAACGCUGGCGGCGUGCCUAAUACAUGCAAGUCGAGCGAAGUUUUUCUGGUGCUUGCACUAGAAAAACUUAGCGGCGAACGGGUGAGUAACACGUAAAGAACCUGCCUCAUAGACUGGGACAACUAUUGGAAACGAUAGCUAAUACCGGAUAACAGCAUUAACUGCAUGGUUGAUGUUUAAAAGUUGGUUUUGCUAACACUAUGAGAUGGCUUUGCGGUGCAUUAGCUAGUUGGUGGGGUAAAGGCCUACCAAGGCGACGAUGCAUAGCCGUCCUGAGAGGGUGAUCGGCCACACUGGGACUGAGACACGGCCCAGACUCCUACGGGAGGCAGCAGUAGGGAAUCUUCCGCAAUGGGCGAAAGCCUGACGGAGCAACGCCGCGUGAGUGAAGAAGGAUUUCGGUUCGUAAAGCUCUGUUGUUAGGGAAGAAUGAUUGUGUAGUAACUAUACACAGUAGAGACGGUACCUAACCAGAAAGCCACGGCUAACUACGUG
rnacentral:rRNA from 1 species